AGAAAAAGUCUUCCGCAGUUUGUGACACGGUACCGGCCUCCUGAUGCUCUGGAGUCUGAACUCUUGUUUGUGAAAACUGGAAAGUUUCACUCUGGUCCUUACAGGAACCCAAAGCCCCACAAUUUUAGACCGCUGAACGAAGAUCUUCCAGAAGUAACAACUUCAUGUGAAAAAGACCCCGGCAAUCUGAAGUGGAAAAUAAAUCACUUGGACACAUGUAAGUGGAGAGCCUUCCUCCAUUCAUCCCCUGUUUGUUGUGGGUUUUGAAUGUUAUGGGUUUGCUUCUAAAGUAGGACACUGUAAUUCACUCUCACAAAAGCGUUUUGUGUCAGGAAGAAGUGAAGAGGAGACACAACAAAGGGAAAUGAAUGCAAGAAUGAAUAAAGACUGGGGUUUUUUUCCAGUGCGGAGCAGCAGAUCUGAGGCAGACUUUACUCUCAGAGACCCUACGGCACAGAUGAGGACGUUGAAACGAGCAGAGCCGAAGUGGGAUUCGAAGCUCAUUCUGCCUCCACUGCCCUGGCCUCCAAAAUCAGCUUCCUAUACGAGACAUCGACGAAGAAGAGGAGCAUACAGCGCCUUUCUGGACCGAGUGGAGAAGAAACUAUGGGGGAAUAGAUAAUACAUCAUGUCAUAUUUUAUAUGUUUAAGAACCAGAAUCCUGUGGUUAUACUGUAUACUGUUAAGUACUAAGUAGUUGGUUUUUAGUUUUAAUACUAGUGUCUUUUUUUUUUUUCCAAAGAUUUAUUUGUAGUUCAGACUACCUACAUAGAACGUAAGUCUUGGAGGAAACCUG